rnacentral:rRNA from 1 species
AGUGAACGCUGGCGGUAGGCCUAACACAUGCAAGUCGAACGGCAGCACAGUAAGAGCUUGCUCUUACGGGUGGCGAGUGGCGGACGGGUGGGGAAUACAUCGGAAUCUACUUUUUCGUGGGGGAUAACGUAGGGAAACUUACGCUAAUACCGCAUACGACCUACGGGUGAAAGCAGGGGAUCUUCGGACCUUGCGCGAUUGAAUGAGCCGAUGUCGGAUUAGCUAGUUGGCGGGGUAAAGGCCCACCAAGGCGACGAUCCGUAGCUGGUCUGAGAGGAUGAUUAGCCACACUGGAAUUGAGACACGGUCCAGACUCCUACGGGAGGCAGCAGUGGGGAAUAUUGGACAAUGGGCGCAAGCCUGAUCCAGCCAUACCGCGUGGGUGAAGAAGGCCUUCGGGUUGUAAAGCCCUUUUGUUGGGAAAGAAAAGCAGCAGGUUAAUACCCCGCUGUUCUGACGGUACCCAAAGAAUAAGCACCGGCUAACUUCGUG